GACGGAGGAUGCAAGUGUUAUCCGGAAUCACUGGGCGUAAAGCGUCUGUAGGUGGUUCGAAAAGUCCACUGUUAAAAAUUGAGGCUUAACUUCAAAGAUGCCGUGGAAACUUUCAAACUAGAGUAUGGUAGGGGUAGAGGGAAUUUCCAGUGGAGCGGUGAAAUGCGUAGAUAUCAGGAGGAACACCGGUGGCGAAGGCGGGUCUCUGGGCCGAUACUGACGCUGAGGAGCGAAAGCGUGGGGAGCGAACAGG
rnacentral:rRNA from 1 species